UUUCAUACUGCUGUUGAUGAUGUGAAUUUUGGAAAUAUUCUCCCCUAUUGGGUCUUUCUCCAUGACAGAUGAUGUCCUUUGGCUUCGGUUUUUUGCCUAAGAACUGUAAGUGGUGCUUGCUAGCCCUACUAAGAAUCCUGCCAUUGUUGCAAAUUUCAGAAAAAAGGCUGGAGUGCAGUGGUGCACACGCCUCACACUGUGACACAGCGGGAGAGCCCAGAGCGACAGCUGUUGGAAUGACUGCACUCUUCCUGCUCAAGUCUGACCUUUCCAAGCCUUUGUCCUAUGUCUGGAGACUUCUUGGAAGCUGGAGCACACAAAUAGCUACAGCAAACUUGAGGAAUGGGCAUGAAUAGACUGGCUUCGGGGAACCUGCCAGCUUGGCCGUGUGGCCAAGGUAAUAGGCAAGCCAAGGCAGAGCUAGAGCUCAGAGCUGGAGGGGAAAUUAAAGCAGCAAAUGUAGAAACAUUAAGCCUGAAGAGGCGACGACGUUGAAUUCUAAAAUGCAGGCCAAAGCUCAGACUGCAAGCUGUCUGGCUGCUCCGGGUGUGCCCAGAAGUCAAAGUCCAGCAGGGGCAAAGGUGGAGGUGUGGUCCUGCACGUGGGGUGUUGGGGGGAUGUGGAAGAGGAGGUGCUUUAAGAUCCAGAGAUUCCAGCUGCCCUGGUGCACCCUUGGAAGAAUAAAAGGCUAGGAACUGGACAAGUCAGGCUCGAGUCCAAGCUGCCUGAGGAAUCGGGGAAAGAAUGGAGCUCAGAGUGGGAGGUCAGGGCAGUAUUUAAAAAUCCAGGAUAGCAGCAAAGCUGGCGGUGGCCCCUGACUCUGGUAAGGGCAGCCUGCAGCACCAUGCCAAGGGGGGCCUGACUGAUCAUGCCCUGCAUUUGCAAACAAGGAUUAGUAGGGUAUGAGUAGGAUUCUGCUGGUGCCUGGGAAGGCAGUGCCAUCUACAACUUUACAAAGUUUUAACAAAGGCCUGAAGGACACAACCUUCCCCAAAGUCCUGACGUCGCUGUUUGCUGGCAACAAAUAGAGUCAAAAGAAGAGAGGCACAGAAUGUGCCAGGGGUGUGCUGCGUACAGCCCCGAUGACCACAAGGCCUUCUUGGGUCAAGUUCUGCCAUCUCUGGUUAAGAUGGGCUCACCCUCUAGGACCCUGAUUGAGUCCUCGGACCACCAAGAGUGCCCCACCAAGAGCCUCCCUCUUCUGGUGACUCGUGCCUGCUUCCCGUGGAGAGCUCCAGAAGGGAGGAAACUGUGAGGAGGUGGAGAACGUGGCAGGGAUCCUAACUUUCUUACUGAAGGAAGUUCUUCACAAGUACCCAUCUGCCUUCAGGGAAGAAAACAUAACUCAUUUUGGUCUUUCAAAUUCAGUUCUCAAAACCAAAUCCUGUUGUCAGCAAUCUGUGUCCCAACGCCUUCUUCAGCAACAGCAUUUUCCCUGUGGAAUUAGUUUCCAAUGUUCUUUCUUAAAUAAACCACUGAAGAUUAAAAGGAAUCCAGAUACCCACCACAUUUUGUUUCCUUAAUGAGUAAUUAUCACAUUUCUUUGGCUACUUAAAUGCAUUCUCUGAGUCAGGUAAAGGAGAUCGUAAUAGUUAAUCAACAAGAAGUAAUUCUUGGGUACUUAACAAUAGUCUAAGCACUUAAUCAUACUUAAAAUUGACUAUUAAUGAACCUUAUAAACCAUUUUGCAAUUCUGAAAGUGAAUUUCUCUGCAGGCUUAGAGAUUACUAAGCCAUUUAGAUCUUACCAAACAAAUAUUAUUCAUGCUUUAAUUCCUGGGAAAAGAAAUUUAGAAAAUGAGGUUAAUGUUCAGUUGUCCUUUCCUGAGUUUAACAAUUAUAUAUUCCAUCUGGGAUGCUCUGAACUCAGGUUAAACAUUCUUCAAGUUAUUCCCACAUUUUUCAAGUUAUUCCCACGUUAGUGACCUACUUUAUUAGUAUUAUUACUAAAGAAAAGGGCUGGGUGCGGUGGCCCACAUCUGUAAUCCCAGCACUUUGGGAGGCUGAAGCAGGAGGAUCACUUGAGCUUGGGAGUUCAAGACCAGCCUGAGAGGGAGACUCCGUCUCUAC
rnacentral:lncRNA from 1 species